UAUGCUGAUCUAUUGCUCAAGAAACAUUUCUUAAUAUGAUCAAUGUUGAAAACAGUACUGUAUUUGUACAGCAAUAGAAACUUCAAUUUUAAGAGGCUUUACAAUAUGUCAAUAUUAAUUUCUGUAGGAGAGUACAUUCCCUUAGACAUGAGCGAUCUUCCCUGGUUCUGGCUAGCCUAUUUGGGCAAUCCAAGUGAUUCUGGACGAAUUCACAGUAAUGUUAGACAGCGCUGGUUGAACGGUGAAUCUGCUGUUGUUGAAGCUAUGAAAUCAUUUGCUGAACUCACAGACCAAGCCCGGGCUGCCUUUCAGUGUAAAGACUGGCCCAGACUUGCACAGCUCAUGGAUGAAAACUUUGAGCUACG